AUCUACACUGAUUGAAGUGGAUUUAACUAGUGACAUCAGUAAGGGAUCAUAGCUUUAGCCUGGAUUCACCUAGUCUUUCUAAGUCAUGGAAGGAGCAGCUGUUCUUAAUGUUUUGUCUACCCAGUGUAAAGCACUACAGAUAAUCAAGUGCUAUUUGCAUGUGAUGCAUUUGCUCUGUUGUUUACAGUAUGAUUUGUAUCGUAUAGAGCGUGGCUUUAAGGGAAAAGUAUGGUCACAUCUAAUAAAAACAAAUGUGAAAAAUUAACAGAGUAAUAACACAAAUGUGUUUUAACACACUACCUAUUCGUAUAAGUAUUUAUUCAUCAUCCACAUAUUCAUAUUAAGCUUCUACGUCUGUGUACAGGAAAGUAUAAUUUGAAAGACGUAAGAGAAAAUAUAUCAGCUAAUUGUUAAAUUAUUAUGACGUUCUUUCUUUUUCUUUCCAAUACAAUAAGUGUCGUAACUAUUGUUUCCAAACUGCGUUACCCACUCCAGUCAGCAGAUGGCGAUGGGCGUCUUUCAGGUGAUGCUUCUUGAUGACGUAUAAUGGACUGGACGGGACGCUUCUUCAGGAACAACAAGGCGCAAACUCUUUCAACCACCUCGGUAGCUUGCUAGACAACAUAAAACUAAAAUAUUGAUUCUUUAGACCAUGUUAUUGUACAUGAGCUAAUCUCAGUGUUUUAAACAAAUUUCGGUUGACGUAUCUACUGGUGAACUUUAACCUAAUGUGCUUGUUCAAUUUGCAAACUUGUUAAAGAUUGAUACUGAGGUUAGCACUAGGCUAGUCGCUAAUGCUAGCUAGCUAGCUAGCUAACAUCCCUGACCAUGAGCUCACUGAACUACUCCUCCCUUGCUAAUGAAGCGGAGGUCUGCUGUUUGGAGAAAGAAUCUUUCAGAAUGAAAAAGGAGGAAGAGGAGGCUGUUAUAGUGAAAGAAGAGAACGAACCCUUUAGAGAGGAAGAGGAUGCUAUCUUAAUAUACGUGAAGGAGGAAGACGUUUUGAGAGUGAAAAAGGAGGAGACAGAAGAUCCGAUUGACACCAGAGAGAGACAUGACUAUGGUGGAUCCUCUGGGGAGCCUCAACAACAUCCUGAUGCUGACAAGGCAGAGAAGAGUCUCUCCAGAUCAGAACACCAGAUGGACAACGCUAGCCCUUCCAGCCUCCCGGAGUCCAUGUGUCGUGCCUCUCCCAGUCGCACCUUACUGCUGGGUAUGAAGAGGUUGUCUGUGCUGCUGGUGGACUUCAGGAAAACAACGGGGCUGAGUGGAACUGUGAGGGGAGGAGAAGAGAUGAAAGGAUCAGAUUUGACUCAUCAAAUGCUGUACUGAAACAGCUGCAAAACGUGACUCGUGACGUUGCUGGAUGCGGGCCUCGCUCUGCUGCUUUGCCAGUUAAUUUGUUAUUUUAUUACAGCUAUGGCCUUUGUCUUUCACCUGUAGUUGUUUAUUUAUGUUUGAGAAUAAACACCUUUCAACUCAUAAAACAUGUACAAAAUAAACUCAGCAAAAAAAUAUACGUAUCUUUUCAGGGCCCUGUCUUUCAAAGAUUAUUGGUAAAAAAUCCAACUAACGUCACAGAUCUUUAUUGUAAAGGGUCACCAGACAUCACUGGCAACAACGUCGCCUCUGGGCACCGUCACAAAAAGUCACGGUUUUGUCUCCAGGGGUGAUGGUCGGAUUCGUGUUUAUCGUCAAAGAAAUGAGCAUUACACGGAGGCCUGUACUCUGGAGCAGGGUCAUUUUUAUUUAUUUUACCUUUAUUUAACUAGGCAAGUCAGUUAAGAACAAAUUCUUAUUUUCAAUGACGGCCAGUGGGUUAACUGCCUGUUCAGGGGCAGAACGACAGAUUUGUGCCUUGUGAGCUCGGGGAUAUGAACUUGCAACCUUUCGGUUACUAGUCCAACUCUCUAACCACUAGGCUACCCUGCCGCCCCAGAUACUGACUGUUACUUUUGAUUUUGACACAUUAUUAUUUUGACACAUUAUUCCAUUUCAGUUAGUCACAUUUCUGUAGAACUUGUUCAGUUUAUGUCUGUUGUUGAAUCUUAUGUUCCAACAAAUAUUUACACAUCUUAAGUUUGCUGAAAGUAAACGCAGUUGACAGUGAGAGGACAUUUCUUUUUUUUGCUGAGUUUAGAUUGGCGAGGGGGGAAACAAUUUAAUCAAUUUUAGAAUAAUGCUGAAAUGUAACAAAAUAUGGAAAGGGUGAAGGGGUCUGAAUACUUAACGAAUGCACUGUGUCUGUGUGUAUACUGAACCAAAAUAUAAACAACAAUUUCAAUGAUUUACAGCUCAUAUAAGUCAGUCAUUGUAAAUAAAUAAAUUAGGCCCUAAUCUAUGGACUUUACAUGACUGAGGGGUGCAGCCAUUGGUGGGCCCUGGAGGGCAUAAGCCCACCCAUUGCGGAGCCAGGCCCAGCCAAUCAGAAUUCGUUUUUCCCCACAAAAGGGCUUCAUUACAAAUAGAAAUACUACUCGGGUGGCUGGUCUCAGAAGCUGUGGAGGUCCUGGGCUGGCGUCGUUAUAUGUGGUCUGUGGUUGUGAGGCCAGUUGGAUGUACUGCCAAAUUCUCUAAAAUGACGUUGCAAGGUGGCUUCUGGUAGAGAAUUGAACAUUCAAUUAUCUGGUAACCGCUCUUGUGGAUAUUCCUGCAGUCAGCAUGCCAAUUGCAUGCUCCCUCAAAACGUGAGACAUCUGUGGCAUUGUGUUGUGUGACAAAACUGCACAUUUUAGUGUGGCCUUUUAUUUUCCCCGGCACAAGGUGCACCUGUGUAAUUAUCAAGCUGUUCAAUCAGCUCCUUGAUAUGCCACACCUGUCAGAUGGAUGGAUUAUCUUGACAGAGAAUAAAUGUUAACUAACAGGGAUGUAAAAAAUUCUGCAAUCUUUUUUUCCCAGCUCAUUAAACAUCCAACACUUUACAUGUUGCGUUUAUAAUUUGUUUAUUGUAGUUACUAACAGUUUUAGGAACAUCUUUCCAAAUAUUUCACCUUGUUUUUUACUUUACCCAAAAUAUGACAUCAGCGAUAGUCAAAAUGUUGAAAAUCUGUGAACGUCUAAAUAAGAAAUUGGGCCAUUUAAACAGCAGGUGUUGAACCCUUUCAACAACGGAGAUAUUUUACAACUUAAAAUCAAGUUUUGGACUUCCACUUAAAAUGACUUAUUUACUUAUUUUAUGUUUAAGGAAGUGUGUACAGUCGUGGCCAAAAGUUUUGAGAAUGACACAAAUGUUAAUUUUCACCAAAUCUGCUGCCUCAGUUUGUAUGAUGGCAAUUUGCAUAUACUCCAGAAUGUUAUGAAGAGUGUUCAGAUGANNNNNNNNNNCGGUAUGUUGAUGUAAACUAUUUAUUGAUAAUGUAUUUUCCUAUUCAGAUUAUACAUCUGCAUAGACUCAAACAGUAUUUUAAAGUUGAUUUAAAAAAUAUAUAUAAAUUGUACACUUCUAUUUUCACAAUUUGAAUUAUUAUUAAUCAAAAACUCCUAUAGCAACAAUACACUGCAGCUUUGACAUCAAGAAGAGAACGGGCUGAUGGGUGGUGGUGCUACUCUAUAGGUAAGGCUGUCCAAUAUGAAUGUUCAAUACACACAAUAGGUUGAUCAGUANNNNNNNNNNUGGAAAAAAUUGUGUUUUACCAAAUACAAUGCUAUAUUUCUGUAAACAAAUGAACAACAUACUUUCAGCAUGCUUAUAGAGAAGGGCACUCAACAUGUACUGCACUGACACAAAUGACUGAUGAUUGGUUGAGAGAAAUUGAUAACAAGAAUAUUGUGGGAGCUCUAUUGUUAGAUUUCAGUGCAGCCUUUGAUAUUAUUGACCAUAACCUGUUGUUUAAGAAUGUGUGUGCUAUGGCUUUUCAACCUCUGCCAUAAUGUGGAUUCAGAGCUAUCUAUCUAAUAGAACNNNNNNNNNNUUAUUUCUAUGUUUUCUAUUUCUUUGUUUUUGGCCAAGUGUGGUUCCCAAUCGGAGGCAGCUGUCUAUCGUUGUCUCUAAUUGGGAAUCAUACUUAGGCAGCCUUUUUCCACCUGUGUUUUUUGGGUAGUUGUUUUCUGUAUAAUUAAUUUCUUCGAAUGUUGUUUGAUUAAAUAAAAAUCAUGAACACUUACCACUCUGCGCUUUGGUCCAUGCCUUCCGACGAGAGACGUGACAAUUAUGUGUCAUGUUUUGUGUUGACCGCAGGAGGGGUAGCUGCUGCUUUUGCAACAGCUAAUGGGGANNNNNNNNNNUGUCCUCUCCUGCUGACUUCAUAUAUAGUGGUCAGAGAUUCUGUCAGA
rnacentral:lncRNA from 13 species